rnacentral:rRNA from 1 species
UACGGAGGGUGCAAGCGUUAUUCGGAAUUACUGGGCGUAAAGCGCGUGUAGGCGGUCCUGCAAGUCUGAUGUGAAAGCCCCGGGCUUAACCCGGGAAGUGCAUUGGAAACUGUGGGACUUGAGUACUGGAGAGGAUGGGGGAAUUCCCGGUGUAGAGGUGAAAUUCGUAGAGAUCGGGAGGAAUAUCAGUGGCGAAGGCGCCCAUCUGGACGGUAACUGACGCUGAGACGCGAAAGCGUGGGGAGCAAACAGG